rnacentral:rRNA from 1 species
UAACGCGAAGAACCUUACCAGGUCUUGACAUCUUCUGCUAACCUAAGAGAUUAAGCGUUCCCUUCGGGGACGGAAUGACAGGUGGUGCAUGGUUGUCGUCAGCUCGUGUCGUGAGAUGUUGGGUUAAGUCCCGCAACGAGCGCAACCCUUAUUGUCAGUUGCCAGCAUUUAGUUGGGCACUCUGGCGAGACUGCCGGUGACAAACCGGAGGAAGGUGGGGAUGACGUCAAAUCAUCAUGCCCCUUAUGACCUGGGCUACACACGUGCUACAAUGGACGGUACAACGAGUCGCGAAACCGCGAGGUCAAGCUAAUCUCUUAAAGCCGUUCUCAGUUCGGAUUGUAGGCUGCAACUCGCCUACAUGAAGUUGGAAUCGCUAGUAAUCGUGGAUCAGC